rnacentral:rRNA from 1 species
UACGUAGGGUGCAAGCGUUAAUCGGAAUUACUGGGCGUAAAGCGUGCGCAGGCGGUUGUGCAAGACAGAUGUGAAAUCCCCGGGCUUAACCUGGGAAUUGCAUUUGUGACUGCACGGCUAGAAUCUGGCAGAGGGGGGUAGAAUUCCACGUGUAGCAGUGAAAUGCGUAGAGAUGUGGAGGAAUACCGAUGGCGAAGGCAGCCCCCUGGGCUAAGAUUGACGCUCAUGCACGAAAGCGUGGGGAGCAAACAGG